rnacentral:rRNA from 1 species
GAUGGGUCUGCGGGCCUAUCAGGUAGUAGUGGGUGUAGCGUACCUACUAGCCUACGACGGGUACGGGUUGUGAGAGCAAGAGCCCGGAGAUGGAUUCUGAGACACUAAUCCAGGCCCUACGGGGUGCAGCAGGCGCGAAAACUUUACAAUGCUGGGAACAGCGAUAAGGGAACCUCGAGUGCCAGGUUACAAAUCUGGCUGUCGUGAUGCCUAAAAAGCAUUAUAUAGCAAGGGCCGGGCAAGACCGGUGCCAGCCGCCGCGGUAACACCGGCGGCUCGAGUGGUAACCGUUAUUAUUGGGUCUAAAGGGUCUGUAGCCGGCCGGAUAAGUCUCUUGGGAAAUCUGGCAGCUUAACUGUCAGGCUUUCAGGGGAUACUGUCUGGCUCGAGGCCGGGAGAGGUAAGAGAUACUUCAGGGGUAGGGGUGAAAUCUUGUAAUCCUUGAAGGACCACCAGUGGCGAAGGCGUCUCACCAGAACGGACCUGACGGCAAGGGACGAAAGCUAGGGGCACGAACCGGAUUAGAUACCCGGGUAGUCCUAGCCGUAAACGAUACUCGCUAGGUGUCGGCCACGGUGCGACCGUUGUCGGUGCCGUAGGGAAGCCGUGAAGCGAGCCACCUGGGAAGUACGGCCGCAAGGCUGAAACUUAAAGGAAUUGGCGGGA